rnacentral:rRNA from 1 species
AUUGAACGCUGGCGGCAGGCCUAACACAUGCAAGUCGAACGGUAGCACAGAGAGCUUGCUCUCGGGUGACGAGUGGCGGACGGGUGAGUAAUGUCUGGGAAACUGCCCGGUGGAGGGGGAUAACUACGGGAAACGGUAGCUAGUACCGCGUAACGUCGCAAGACCAAAGGGGGGGAACUUCGGGGCUCACACCAUCGGAUGUGGCCAGAUGGGAUUAGGUAGGAGGUGGGGGAAUGGCUCACCUGGGGGGCGAUCCUUAGCUGGGCUGAGAGGAGUACCGGCCACACUGGAACUGGGAAACGCUCCAGCCUCCUACGGGAGGCAGCAUUGGGGAAUAUUGGACAAUGGGCGAAAGCCGGAUGCAUCCGUGCCGCGUGUAUGAAGAAGGCCUUCGGGUUGUAAAGUACUUUCAGCGGGGAGGAAGGCGGUGAAGUUGAUAGCUUCACCGAGUGACGUUACCCGCAGAAGAAGCACCGGCUAACUCCGUGCCAGCAGCCGCAGUAA